rnacentral:piRNA from 1 species
UUUGCCAAUGAUGGCAUCAAGAAGGCUGGU